rnacentral:rRNA from 1 species
CCUACGGGAGGCAGCAGUGAGGAAUAUUGGUCAAUGGACGAGAGUCUGAACCAGCCAAGUAGCGUGAAGGAUGACUGCCCUAUGGGUUGUAAACUUCUUUUAUAUGGGAAUAAAACGUUCCACGUGUGGGAUUUUGUAUGUACCAUAUGAAUAAGGAUCGGCUAACUCCGUGCCAGCAGCCGCGGUAAUACGGAGGAUCCGAGCGUUAUCCGGAUUUAUUGGGUUUAAAGGGAGCGUAGGUGGAUUGUUAAGUCAGUUGUGAAAGUUUGCGGCUCAACCGUAAAAUUGCAGUUGAAACUGGCAGUCUUGAGUACAGUAGAGGUGGGCGGAAUUCGUUGUGUAGCGGUGAAAUGCUUAGAUAUCACGAAGAACUCCGAUUGCGAAGGCAGUUCACUGGACUGCAACUGACACUGAGGCUCGAAAGUGUGGGUAUCAAACAGGAUUAGAUACCCGUGUAGUC